UACGUAGGGUGCGAGCGUUAUCCGGAAUUAUUGGGCGUAAAGAGCGCGCAGGUGGUUGAUUAAGUCUGAUGUGAAAGCCCACGGCUUAACCGUGGAGGGUCAUUGGAAACUGGUCGACUUGAGUGCAGAAGAGGGAAGUGGAAUUCCAUGUGUAGCGGUGAAAUGCGUAGAGAUAUGGAGGAACACAAGUGGCGAAGGCGGCUUCCUGGUCUGUAACUGACACUGAGGCGCGAAAGCGUGGGGAGCAAACAGGAUUAGAUA
rnacentral:rRNA from 1 species